GGCCCGUAAUCCGGGUUGCGGACAGUGUCUGGUGGGUAGUUUGACUGGGGCGGUCUCCUCCUAAAGAGUAACGGAGGAGCACGAAGGUUGGCUAAUCCUGGUCGGACAUCAGGAGGUUAGUGCAAUGGCAUAAGCCAGCUUGACUGCGAGCGUGACGGCGCGAGCAGGUGCGAAAGCAGGUCAUAGUGAUCCGGUGGUUCUGAAUGGAAGGGCCAUCGCUCAACGGAUAAAAGGUACUCCGGGGAUAACAGGCUGAUACCGCCCAAGAGUUCAUAUCGACGGCGGUGUUUGGCACCUCGAUGUCGGCUCAUCACAUCCUGGGGCUGAAGUAGGUCCCAAGGGUAUGGCUGUUCGCCAUUUAAAGUGGUACGCGAGCUGGGUUUAGAACGUCGUGAGACAGUUCGGUCCCUAUCUGCCGUGGGCGCUGGAGAACUGAGGGGGGCUGCUCCUAGUACGAGAGGACCGGAGUGGACGCAUCACUGGUGUUCGGGUUGUCAUGCCAAUGGCACUGCCCGGUAGCUAAAUGCGGAAGAGAUAAGUGCUGAAAGCAUCUAAGCACGAAACUUGCCCCGAGAUGAGUUCUCCCUGACUCCUUGAGAGUCCUGAAGGAACGUUGAAGACGACGACGUUGAUAGGCCGGGUGUGUAAGCGCAGCGAUGCGUUGAGCUAACCGGUACUAAUGAACCGUGAGGCUUAACCUUACAACGCCGAAG
rnacentral:rRNA from 1 species